CACGAACCGUACGAACGUUAUUCGGAAUUACUGGGCUUAAAGGGUUUGUAGGCGGCCAUGUAAGUCAGGUGUGAAAUCCCUCGGCUCAACCGAGGAACGGCGCUUGAUACUGCACGGCUUGAGGGAGACAGGGGUAAGCGGAACUGAUGGUGGAGCGGUGAAAUGCGUUGAUAUCAUCAGGAACACCGGUGGCGAAAGCGGCUUACUGGGUCUCUUCUGACGCUGAGGAACGAAAGCUAGGGUAGCGAACGGG
rnacentral:rRNA from 1 species